rnacentral:rRNA from 1 species
ACCCGCCGAAUUUAAGCAUAUCAAUAAGCCGGAGGGAA